AGUACUUCGUUUGGUGGAUGGGGAACAAAAACCACCCAUGGGCUACCUUUUUGAAGCUAUGGAUAGGGUUAAGGAGUCUAUUCAAAAAUCAUUUAGUGACCCACAUAAGUAGGCAAAGGUCUUUGACAUCAUUGAUAAAAGAUGGGCGGAUCAACUUCAUCAACCUUUGCAUGCCGUUGGGAAUUUGUUGAACCCAUCAAGCUUUUAUGAUAACAAUGAGUUGCGAAUAAUAAAUGCAAAAUUGAUGAAGGGAUUCUAUGGAAGUGUUGCUAAGUUGGUACCUGGUGAAGAGGAGCAAGAUGAAAUGGGGUUAUAACUAAGUGCUUAUACUAAUUCUGAAGGGAUCUUUGGAUUUGCAAUGACUAUAAGACAAAGAAAGAAGAAGUCUCCAGUUGAAUGGUGGAGGCUUUAUGGUGGAAACACUCCGGAAUUACAAAAGUUUGCUAUCAAAGUUCUAGGUCUAACUUGUAGCUCAUCCGGAUGUGAGAGAAAUUGGAGCCUGUUUGAACAUAUUCAUAGCAAGAAGAGGAAUAGACUAACCCUAAAGCGCCUCAAUGA